UUUAAACAGAAUUCAUUGUCAUUCGGGCUCACUUUGCUUUCAGGCACGUUGCUUCCACUUUGACUCAACUCUUUAGAAAGUUGGAGUUUUAACAGGGACCUAAGAGGUUAUGCUCCUCAUUCAAGAAGUUGAAAAAUAACCUGAGGCCAGAAGACUGAUGCUCCAAGGCAGAACUAAUGCUGGACACGGGCUCUUGUCUCUGACACACAGACUGUGAGAGUCACAUGGAGAAGCAACCUGAGUCUUAAGGUUUGUAUGGAAAACUGGGAUGCCUGACUUCAAAAAAGAGGCUUUCCAUGAAUUUUUUGUAUUGACCUUGGGUAAAGUAGAGUGCACGAGAGUGCUUAUUAAAUAUAAGAGUGGAAAACUAAGGAGCAUUUAAGAAUGACUUCAAGAUAGUUUAGUGUAGAGGCACAGCCCUACUCUAUUUUUCAAUGUGAUUACUCCCUAACACCACAUGUUUACUCUAGUGAUGGACAAGCAUCCAGUGGUUAUAAAGGAAAAACAAACAAAUUAAAGGGGGAAUAAGAGGGAGAGGAGGAAUAACAGUGACCAUAUGCUUGACUUCUGGCUGUGUCAGUAACUGGUGGUGUGAUGCUGGGCAAGUCACUUCAUUUUGCUUGGCCUCAGCUUCUCCAUCUUUAAACAAAGAACUUGGUCUAGAUCUGGAAGCCAUGGCCCUGGAUCAGCAUUAUUAUCAUCACCUGGGAGCACCUUAGACAUGCAGAUUCUCAAACCUCACUCAGAACCCCCAGUCAGAAGCUGUAGGGGUGGGACCCAGCGAUUUGUGUUUUAACAAGCUUUCCAGGCAAUUCUGGUCACACUCAAGUUUGAGAACAAGCCACUGUAGAAGCUUGGCUGUCAGCUGCCAGAGCUAUGCUGCAGAAGAGUUGGAACAGCUCUCUUCUUGGUCCUGAGAGGUCCCUUCCUAACAGAGUUAGAUCUCAACUCACCUUGUGAUCUGAGAAGCGGACUGAUUGAACCCUUGUCUGCAAAAGAGAAAACUAAGAUUGGUGUCAUCUUAGGUGCCAGUACUAAUCUCCUCCCUUAGUUGCGACUACUAAAAGAUGUCUGUGCCAUCGCCUUCUCCGAAAAGAUGUCUAUAGCCAUUGUUAAAUGUCCCCUGGGGUUGAGUGAUAAAAUGCUCCUGAUUGAGAAACACUGUUUUGUACAGAAAUUAAAGAAUCCCCUGAGUUUGAUUUUGUCCAAGUACCUCGAACUUCCUUUUUCUGAAGAGUAAAAGGCCAUCAAAUGAGUGGGACAUUACUUGAUUGGAUCCUUCAGAGCUCACAGUGUAGAUAACUUGAUUCUUUUUAUACCUACUCUGAAUUGAUGCAAGGUGAAUUUGUGUAGAUGGUAUUGUGCGUGCUCUCAUAUGAGAAUCUGAUAAGCCUAGGGUGGACUCCAGUUAUAUACAAAACUUGUUUUAAUUCUGUGCAUGCCAUUUAAUCUAGAUUGGUGACCAGACGAUAAUGGAACAGCAUGGUUCCAGGAAACUGCUCUUUCCCCAGUAUCAUCUGCCAAUUCUAAUAGCGUUAGCUGAAAUCUCAAAGCAGGUGCCCAUCAAAUCAAGAUAAAAUCUUUUACAAUGUAAAAAAAAAAAAAAAAAAAGCGAGACAGUGUCUACAUUCUAACAUGGUCGAUGAGGCCUUUCAGAAAUUUAUUGGGAAAUGCAAUCUAAACCUUGUUUCAGAAAUUUGAAGAAAAGGAUUGCUUUUUUGGAUUAGAUGCAUAUGAUGGGUCUCACAGGUAUGAAGACUAUUUCUCUUUCCACCACUCUCAAGAUCUUGCUUGUUGGAUUGGCUCUUUAAAGGUGGGCCUAAGGUGCUGAAUUAUGUGAAAUCUGAUUAAUUUUAUUGCUUAAUUAAGGCACUCUGUAGUUUUGGGGGAAGAAUAUGGAGAAAGUCUUGUAAAGUAAAUUAAAAGCCAACUUUCAUGCUUGAUCACACAUGUAAAAGUGGAAU